UACGUAGGGUGCGAGCGUUAAUCGGAAUUACUGGGCGUAAAGCGUGCGCAGGCGGUUUUGUAAGACAGGCGUGAAAUCCCCCGAGCUCAACUUGGGAAUUGCGCUUGGGACUGCAAGGCUAGAGUGUGUCAGAGGGGGGGGUAGAAUUCCACGUGUAGCAGUGAAAUGCGUAGAUAUCGGAAGGAACAUCAGUGGCGAAAGCGGCUUCCUGGACCAGUACCGACGUCAGGCACGAAAGCGUGGGGAGCAAACAG
rnacentral:rRNA from 1 species